CGGGGAUUCUCCUAGUAACUGCGAGUGAACGGAGAAAAGCCCAGCGCUGAAUCCUAUGGCUGGUAACGGUUAUGGGAGCUGUAGCGUGAAGAAGGUGUACAACCAUUGCAGUCAAUACACGUAAGUCUCCCUGAGUGGAGCUCCAUCCCAAGGAGGGUGCAAGGCCCGUAUCGUGUUUGACGCGUAGUGGUAUAGCAUCUUCAGAGAGUCGGGUUGUUUGGGAUUGCAACCUAAAGCCGGUGGUAAACUCCAUCGAAGGCUAAAUAUGACCACGAGUCCGAUAGCGAACAAGUACCGUGAGGGAAAAUUGAAAAGCACUUUGAAGAGAGAGCGAAAUAGUGCGUGAAACCGCUUAGAGGCAAGCAGUGGGGCCUCGAAGGUAGAGCAGCGAAUUCAGCUUGCAUCUUCUGCUAGGCUACUGUCGGCUAGGAGAUCGUAAGACUCCUGCCGAUGUAGGCUGUUCUGGCGGAAUGUGAGUGCACUUUCGCUGUUUGUACGCCACCGCUGUUAAAUGUUUAUGCAUCCGCUGUGGUCUUGUGUGAGGCCUUGAGUGGCUUGCUGCUCAAGUCACCUACACUUGGCCGUAUGCAGCGCGCUUGCCUUUUAACCAGACCAAUCAUUCCUAUGCUUGCACUUCUUCGGGAGUGCGGUGUAAGUGCUAGCGUGUUUUGUGGCCGCUUAGUGGCAGUCGACGUGCUUGCACGGCUUCAGCUGCUGGUGGUACUCUGCGUUGGCCUUACUUGCGUAGCGUAGAUUUGGUGGCGAGUAGAUGGCUGCCCAUCUAACCCGUCUUGAAACACGGACCAAGGAGUUCAACAUGCGCGCUAGUUGUUGGGUAUCAAAUCAUGAAUGUACUAAACCCGAAGGCGCAGUGAAAGCAAGUCACAGCUUUGCUGUGAAUUGGCGAGAUCCUGUUUUACUAGUGUAGCCGGUAAAAUGGCCACUGUACAGGCGCAUCGCCGGCCCAUCAUAGACUCAUGUAGUCGUGGUGGAGCCUGAGCGUGCACGUUGAGACCCGAAAGAUGGUGAACUAUGCCUGGGCAGGAUGAAGCCAGGGGAAACUCUGGUGGAGGUCCGUAGCGAUUCUGACGUGCAAAUCGAUCGUCUGACCUGGGUAUAGGGGCGAAAGACUAAUCGAACCAUCUAGUAGCUGGUUCCCUCCGAAGUUUCCCUCAGGAUAGCUGGCACACGAGAGAACGUAGUCUCUCCCGGUAAAGCGAAUGAUUAGAGGUCUUGGGGUCGAAACGACCUCAGCCUAUUCUCAAACUUUAAAUGGGUGAGAAGUCUGACUUUCUUAAACACUAUUUAAGAUGAAGUCAGACGUUUGGAUACGUGCGCCUAGUGGGCCAUUUUUGGUAAGCAGAACUGGGGCUGCGGGAUGAACCGAACGUUGAGUUACGGCGCCCGACGAGACGCUCAUGAGAUCCCAUAAAAGGUGUUGGUUGCUAUAGACAGCAGGACGGUGGCCAUGGAAGUCGGAAUCCGCUAAGGAGUGUGUAACAACUCACCUGCCGAAGCAACUAGCCCUGAAAAUGGAUGGCGCUGUAGCGUCUGGCCUAUACUCAACCGUUAUUGUAAUGGUGCCCAUAAAGCAUCCAUGACCAGUCAUACAAUAACGAGUAGGAGGGCCGCGGCGGUAGCAUUGAAGGCGUACGGGCGUGAGCCUGGCUGGAGCUGCCGUCGGUGCAGAUCUUGGUGGUAGUAGCAAAUACUCAAGCGAGAACCUUGAGGACUGAAGUGGAGAAGGGUUCCAUGUGAACAGCAGUUGAACAUGGGUCAGUCGACCCUAAGGUAUCGGCGAAAGCCGUUCAGAAGCGGUGUGGAUAUGUGCGCAGAAAUGUGUACAGGUUAUUGGGUUAACUGCUGGCUGGUUGUGAAACAGGUUAAGCUGUCAUGGCUGGUUGGUAGCCAGUAAUCACCGCACCUGCCGAAAGGGAAUCGGGUUAAUAUUCCCGAACCUGGCAUCGGAGACUGAAUGGCCUUCGGGUCAUUUUCAUGCGGUAACGCAAAUGAACUCAGAGACGCUGACACGUACCCUGGGAAGAGUUGUCUUUUCUUGAUAAGGAGCAAACUGCCUGGAAUCGGAUCAUCCGGCGAUAGGGAGAAAGCAUCCGUAAAGCACCGCGGUUCUUGCGGUGUCCGGUGCGUACGUGUCGGUCCUUGAAAAUCUGAGGGAGAGUGUGAUUUUCGUGCCAGAUCGUACCCAUAUCCCAGCAGGUCUCC
rnacentral:rRNA from 1 species